rfam:Absidia glauca strain CBS 101.48 genome assembly, contig: contig_6258
GUGACCGUACUCUACAGGAUCUGUAUACAGUACAUAACCGUUCUACGUUUUUCAAACUAGACCAAUUCGUCAAGCUAGUGGAUGACAUUAAGCAGACUUUCCUAUGAGUGAAGUGUACUAUGGAUGACUCUCAGGGUCGACCACAGUAGUUGAUGAUCUCGCCUGUUCACUAUUCCAAGAACAUGGCACGGAAAGAGCUGCAGUCUGAUAGCU